ACCUGCACCAGAACCCGAAGGUGUUUUUUAUCCAUCUGUGAACCAACAACUAUCUGCUCUCAGUCAUAAUAUGGACUGGGCAUCAAAGAGAAAACAUUGACUACACCAAAUAAAAAAAGAUGAAGAGAUUAACGUCUAGGCAUGUACGCCACUCAUACACGUCACGUAAACGUCAGAUGCGAAGUCACAAUGUUUUAUACGUUGCAUAUUUCCAUUAGGUUUGUUCUAGCAGCGAUUUCAAACGAUACGGAAUCGUACGAAGCAUGCGCAUACGAAUAUAGGCGUUCUAGCAAAGCAAAUCCAGGAUUCGAACUAAUAAUCGCAUGUUCUAGCGAAGACGAAAUCCAGUUUGCAAACCGUAUGAGAACUGUCGAAGUAGUCCAGAGGAAUUCGUAAGGAUUUUCAGUUUGUGACAUGCGCAAAUAUUCGGAGUGAUCCGAUAUCACGUUUGUUAUGAUUUUGGAAUAUGGAUUUGUUGGUUAUGUUAUGUCCUAAAGAAAUGAGAAACCAAAAUAGAAAUAUUUAGUGGCCUGAUAAUUGGUUUAAAAAUCUUGUUUUUUAUAGAACGACAAUCCUCAAAACUGUCAAUUUUUUCAUAUUUGCGUUUGGAAAUUCAGGUAGGAUUAGCCGAAAUGUCAUCAGAGUCAUCAAGCUCUGAAUCAAAUUGGGGAAAUAAUUCUGAAUCAUCCAGUGAUGAGGAACUUAUCGAAAUGCUGUUUCAUCACCAUGAGGAAGAGGAUGAAGAUAAUCACAUCAAUAGAGAUGCUGCAGACCACAGAAAUUUUGUAGCUUGACAAGUUUUAAGAUAGCAAUAAAAUUGUAAUAUUUCUGUUUGUUGAUGUUCAUUUCAUUGUUUGGCAUAAGUUAAAUAAACAUCCAUUCAGGUAAAAUAA